GGUUGAUCCCGCCGGAGGUCACUGCUAUCGGGGUUCGAUUAAGCCAUGCGAGUCGAGAGGGUUCAGACCCUCGGCGGACUGCUCAGUAACACGUGGAUAAUCUGCCCUAUGGUGGAGGAUAACCCCGGGAAACUGGGGAUAAUACUCCAUAAGUCAGGAGUACUGGAAUGUCUCCUAACUGAAAGUUUCGGCGCCAUAGGAUGAAUCUGCGGCCGAUUAGGUAGUUGUUGGGGUAACGGCCCAACAAGCCCGUAAUCGGUACGGGUUGUGGGAGCAAGAGCCCGGAGAUGGAAUCUGAGACACGAUUCCAGGCCCUACGGGGCGCAGCAGGCGCGAAAACUUUGCAAUGCAGGAAACUGUGAUAAGGGAACCCCGAGUGCCCGUACACGCGGGCUGUCCCGGUGUUUAAAACACAUCGGAAGAAAGGGCCGGGCAAGACCGGUGCCAGCCGCCGCGGUAAUACCGGCGGCUCGAGUGGUGACCACUUUUAUUGGGCUUAAAGCGUUCGUAGCUUGAUUUUUAAGUCUCUUGGGAAAUCUCACGGCUUAACUGUGAGGCGUCUAAGAGAUACUGGGAAUCUAGGGACCGGGAGAGGUAAGAGGUACUUCAGGGGUAGAAGUGAAAUUCUGUAAUCCUUGAGGGACCACCGAUGGCGAAGGCAUCUUACCAGAACGGCUUCGACAGUGAGGAACGAAAGCUGGGGGAGCGAACGGGAUUAGAUACCCCGGUAGUCCCGGCCGUAAACUAUGCGCGUUAGGUGUGCCUGUAACUACGAGUUACCGGGGUGCCGAAGUGAAAACGUGAAACGUGCCGCCUGGGAAGUACGGUCGCAAGGCUGAAACUUAAAGGAAUUGGCGGGGGAGCACCACAACGGGUGGAGCCUGCGGUUUAAUUGGACUCAACGCCGGGCAGCUCACCGGAUAGGACAGCGGAAUGAUAGCCGGGCUGAAGACCUUGCUUGACCAGCUGAGAGGAGGUGCAUGGCCGUCGUCAGUUCGUACUGUGAAGCAUCCUGUUUAGUCAGGCAACGAGCGAGACCCCU
rnacentral:rRNA from 1 species